CCCUUAGAUGUUCUGGGCCGCACGCGCGCUACACUGAUGCAUUCAACGAGUUUUUCCUGGUCCGAGAGGAAUGGGUAACCUUUUGAAAGUGCAUCGUGCUAGGGAUAGACUAUUGCAAUUAUUGGUCUUCAACGAGGAAUUCCUAGUAAACGCAAGUCAUCAGCUUGCAUUGAUUACGUCCCUGCCCUUUGUACACACCGCCCGUCGCACCUACCGAUUGAAUGGUCCGGUGAAAUCUUCGGAUCUGAGAGAUGUCUGAUUAAUUUCGGACGCCUUUUGGAAAAGUUGUUUAAACCUUACCAUUUAGAGGAAGGUGAANUCGUAACA
rnacentral:rRNA from 1 species